GAUGAACGCUAGCUACAGGCUUAACACAUGCAAGUCGCGGGGCAGCAUGGGGGUUGCUUGCAAUCCCCGAUGGCGACCGGCGCACGGGUGAGUAACGCGUAUCCAACCUGCCCUUCACCACGGGAUAACCCGGCGAAAGUCGGACUAAUACCGUAUGUUGUCCAUUGACGGCAUCCGAUUUGGACGAAAGGGUUGGGGGUGAAGGAUGGGGAUGCGUCCGAUUAGCUGGACGGCGGGGUGACGGCCCACCGUGGCGACGAUCGGUAGGGGUUCUGAGAGGAAGGUCCCCCACACUGGAACUGAGACACGGUCCAGACUCCUACGGGAGGCAGCAGUGAGGAAUAUUGGUCAAUGGGCGUAAGCCUGAACCAGCCAAGUAGCGUGCAGGAUGACGGCCCUAUGGGUUGUAAACUGCUUUUAUGCGGGGAUAAAGUGGCCCACGUGUGGGUUUUUGCAGGUACCGCAUGAAUAAGGACCGGCUAAUUCCGUG
rnacentral:rRNA from 1 species